GAUGAACGCUAGCGGCAGGCUUAAUACAUGCAAGUCGUGGGGCAGCAUGAAGUAGCAAUACUUUGAUGGCGACCGGCAAACGGGUGCGGAACACGUACACAACCUUCCUUUUAGUGGGGAAUAGCCCAGAGAAAUUUGGAUUAAUACCCCGUAACAUAGCGAUGUGGCAUCACAUUGCUAUUAUAGCUUCGGCGCUAGCUGCGGGGUGUGCGUAUGAUUAGAUAGUUGGCGAGGUAACGGCUCACCACGUCUACGAUCAUUAGCUGAUGUGAGGGCAUGAUCAGCGACACGGGCAGUGAGACACGGGCCCGACUCCUACGGGAGGCAGCAGUAAGGAAUAUUGGUCAAUGGACGAAAGUCUGAACCAGCCAUGCCGCGUGAAGGAUUAAGGUCCUCUGGAUUGUAAACUUCUUUUAUAUGGGACGAAAAAAGGUCUUUCUAGAUCACUUGACGGUACCAUAUGAAUAAGCACCGGCUAACUCCGUGCCAGCAGCCGCUGUAACAC
rnacentral:rRNA from 1 species